GACGAACGCUGGCGGCGUGCUUAACACAUGCAAGUCGAACGGAAAGGCCCUGCUUUUGUGGGGUGCUCGAGUGGCGAACGGGUGAGUAACACGUGAGUAACCUGCCCUUGACUUUGGGAUAACUUCAGGAAACUGGGGCUAAUACCGGAUAGGAGCUCCUGCUGCAUGGUGGGGGUUGGAAAGUUUCGGCGGUUGGGGAUGGACUCGCGGCUUAUGAGCUUGUUGGUGGGGUAGUGGCUUACCAAGGCUUUGACGGGUAGCCGGCCUGAGAGGGUGACCGGCCACAUUGGGACUGAGGUACGGCCCAGACGCCUACGGGAGGCAGCAGGGGGGAAUAUGGCACAAUGGGGGGAAGCCUGAGGCAGCAACGCCGCGUGCGUGAUGACGGCCUUCGGGUUGAAAACCGCUUUCGCCUGUGACGAAGCGUGAGUGACGGUAAUGGGUAAAGAAGCACCGGCUAACUACGUG
rnacentral:rRNA from 1 species